GUGCAUCAGAUCUUUAAGUAGCAAGUGCUUCUCCUUCUUUAAACGUUAGUUUCAUUUUCCCCUCUCUGAGCUUCUCUGGGAUGCUGCUUUAUGCAUUUCUGUUGCAAGAGCAAAUUUGGGGCGUGACCGACAGGUGACUGUAUGAUUUUUUAAAAACCUAAUAGUUGAAAUGCAUAAUUGUCUCUCAUUCCAGUGACUAACUUUCCAAGUGAGAGCCAGCCCUGUCACAGAGAUGGGACAUACAUUUUCUCUUCACAGAUUUCAGUAGCUUAAGAGGGGAGACACUGGAGAUUGGAUGACCGUAGGAAUUUCCUUUAUGGCCACUAGGUAUUUAUGUAUACUGCACCAAGCAUUUUUAAUCAUAGAAUUAUCCAGUAUUUCAAUAUUCCCAUUCAUGUUCCCUGGGUAAAGUUGGCAACAGAGGAAAGGGGAUGUUUGCAAUGUAUAAUUUUUUCAUAAUAAUGUGAAGGCAUAGCAGACCCUUUUGUAGACCCACCAGGUUGAAUCCCUGGCAUCUUCCUGGAAAACUAUUGCCAGUCAAUGUUGGCAGUGCUGAACUAGAUGGACCAAUAAGCCCGACUCUGUGUAAGGCAGCUUCCUAUGUUAUUAGGACCUUGUUGGUUUUUAGACAUCUUUUAAAUAUCUCUUUUGUUUCAAUGGACUUUUAGUGUGCAAUUUUAAAUUUGAUGCUUUUAAAGGUUUUCUCUCUGAGGCUUUGAAAUGUUAAGAUUUUAUUUGACUUUUGUGCUGCUGUCAGAUUGCAUGUUUUGGUUUUAAAUUCUUUUACUGUAGUUGUAUCAAUAGUGUAUACAGUGGUACCUCGGGUUACAUACGCUUCAGGUUACAGACUCCGCUAACCCAGAAAUAGUGCUUUAGGUUAAGAACUUUGCUUCAGGAUAAGAACAGAAAUCGGGCUCCGGCAGCGCAGCGGCAGCAGGAGGCCCCAUUAGCUAAUUUGGUGCUUCAGGUUAAGAACAGUUUCAGCUUAAGAAUGGACCUCCAGAACGAAUUAAGUACUUAACCCGAGGUACCACUGUAUAUGCUUUUUAAUUCUGCAUGCCUCUUUGUUUAGUUUUUCAGAAGAGGAAGAAGGUGUGUCAACGCAUAUGAAUUUAAGCUCGUGAAAACCACCAUGAUCCUGAAACUAUAUAUUGAAAAGUAAGCAUUACAAUAUUCUACGGAGGGAUGUGAAAGUACAGCCAGGUGAGCUGCCUUUUCUGCUUGCAGUGCCAGGAUAAUAGUACCAUUCUGUAUUAUUACACCAUUACUGUUGGGAAUAUAUUGUCCCUAGGGCACAUGUGCCAGCAGUGCGCAGGCCUCAGGAGUGGACUGUAAAUCAUGUCACUUUCUUCUGAGAGCUCACAAGAGGUUCCUCCUUCCCACUCACUGCAAGUCUCACUGGAGCAUCCUGUUCCUUAAGACCCUCUAGUGGCAGGUGCUUACAGACUUCCCUGUAACUGCAGCGACACGUCUCUGUCUAGAAUGAUCACCUUGGGGAACUGUCUCUCAUUUACUUUAUGAGAUUAUUCCUGUCAUCUUUAUUAGGGGAAGUGGUGAAUCUCCUGUGUUAAUUACAUUUGGGUGCCCCCAGGGGCCUGGCUUCAGCGGGGACGGCUUUCUAAGGAAUGUAGGAAGUUUAGAAUUCACUCCAUCCUUCAUCAAAAUCCUCCAUCCUUCUGAUCAGUUAUCUUGCCGAUUCUUGAACGCAUUCGAUCAUCUUGUUAAUUAAUACCUCUACGGUGUGAUAUUCCACUGUCCCCCAGGACUGGGAAAGACCCUUUAGCUCACCUGUAUGCUAGAUGAGUUUGAUCCAAGGUAUGACAAGCUUCACCAAGCUGUGCUUCAGCUUACACAAGUUGAGGGAUAUGCCUCUUGCCUCCAGGUCAGAGCUCCUGGUCUUCACCCACAGUGUGACUGGCAGAAAUCCAAAAUGUGGAACGAGCUGAAGAAGAAGAAGCAGCAAGAUUCAUCUACCUUCAAAACUUUUGUUUCAAUUGUCAUUACUAUUUUUUAGUGCAAGAGAUAUUUGGCUUGUUGGUUGUAUAUUCAAAAAUACAUAAUAAAAAUCAAGAUGUUUAACAUUUUAUGGAUGAUGUUUAUUACUUUGAGUUAUAAUGAAUUAAAAACUAAGACUAGUGUCAGUCACAAAAUGGCCACUGAGUACGACUGGACAAGUUACUGUAGUUAUAUGUAGUUCCUGUAUUUACAUGAAAACCAAUAAAAAAUAUUGGGCAGGGGUGGGGACAAAAUGGCCACUGUGAGGUGUGUGGUGUAGCACACAGUGUGUGCCAUGGCGGGGUGUGUGUGGCAUAGUACAAAAUGAGAGAGAAGAGAGUCAUCACUACUUGCUCCUAUGCUUACCUCAUGCUUACCAUGGGAAGACUGUGGUAUAUCGUACUGGUCCUGUUUGUGGCAUUUAUACAAUAUUGAUAUUCUUCACAUGCCUGCUGAAUCCUCUUGUAGUCUAAUAGCAAAAGGGGGCAUUCCCCAGUACCAGGAAAAUAUACAAGGUGGCCAACUGCAUUCUGUCUUGCACACGCUCACACAUGCACACAGGUUUGUCUCUCUCCCUCUCACAUACAAACUUCAUAUUUGCAAAUAUAUGUCUCUCUCUCCUGGCCCCUGGUGCAUCUUUCCCUCACUCUCACACAGAUGCAUACAUGCCUCACGCCUCUCUAACACAAAAACACCACACAUACAGUGGUACCUCAGGAUACAUAUGCUUCAGGUUACAGACUCCGCUAACCCAGAAAUAUUACCUCGGGUUAAGAACUUUGCUUCAGGAUGAGAACAGAAAUCAUGCUCCCGCGGCGCAGCAGCAGUAGGAGGCCCCAUUAGCUAAAGUGGUGCUUCAGGUUAAGAACAGACCUCCAGAAUGAAUUAAGUUCUUAACCCGAGGUACCACUGUACAUACAUCCCUCUCUGUCCAAGUGCACGUUCCCCCUCCCUCACUGACCUAACAUACAUACAGCCUUUUCUCUCACAUGCACAGAAAACAUAGAUCACUUCCUCCUUCCUUCACACACACCCUGCAAAUACAUCUCUCCUCUCUCACACAAAUCCGCUCCACUUCCCAGUGGGGAGGAGUUGCGGUGGACCGCGUGGCCACACACUCCCCACCGGGGGCGGGGGACUUUGUCCCCCGUUGCCUGGGGGAUCCCGGCCACGUCAGAGCCCGGCCAGCCAAUCCACUGGCCGGGGCCGUUUAAAUGGAGGAGUGAGCCAGAGGACUUCCUCUUUGGCUUGCUUCCUCAAUCACCCGCCCUCCCUCAUUAUUUUGCAGGUUAGGCAAUGGCCUUGCUAUGGACUUCGGUUGGUCACCUUGGUUGUCCGGGGGCCUGGUAGGAAUUUUUCCACUUGGCAAAUUGGCACUGGCCACUUGGUUUUCGCCUACUUUGUAGCAAUUGUCACAACUUUGUUAGGGUUGCGGUUAGGCAUUGUUUGACCUUGUACGGGGGAGGGGAGGUGUGGCCAUCACCUGCCCCUCCAUGCUUAAGGGUAUUCCGUUAAAGGAAUCCGGGGGUGUUGAUCUAGUCUGAAGCCCGGCUGGGGGCUAGGGCCUUGAAACGACCCCGACGGGAACACCAGGGGGAGCUUGAGUUCAUUCCUCCUUCCUUCACGCACACCCUGCAAAUACAUCUCUCCUCUCUCACACAAAUCACACAUGCAUAGUUUCUCUCUCUCUCUCUCUCUCUCACACACACACACACACACACACACACACAACUUGAGCUCACAUCCCCAUCCAGAAUAUUUCCUCCCUGGAGCAAAGGAGCCACCCACCACCAGCUCCACAUUGCUGACAAACAAUGGUAGCCUGAAUGCACAGGGAUACCUCUAGGGUUGCCAUACUUCCCUGGGGAAUCCCGCCUUUGAAAUCCUGGUAAUGUCUGGGAAGAUCUGGACAUAUGGCAGCCCUACUCUUCCCUCCCUACUAACUUUUGGGGACAAAGCUAUUUGCCUCUGGUGGCCUGAACGAAGGAGUUGGUAUUCUGUUCUGGAGCAUCCCACUAGAAAAACCCCCACACAUUUGCCAUUUACUAUCAUUGUUAAUUUGCUUUUGGGUAUUCAGAACACUUCCCGUGUUAUAAUUGCAGUAUCAUCUGAGGCUGGGAUCCAUGGAUACAAGACAGAAAUGGCAGAUGAAAAGGGGGAGGGGAGUCUUAUUUUGUUAUAUAUUGGAAUAACAGCAUUUUAAAAGUUCAUCUGGUUUUAACUUGAUGCAAAAAUGACCAAUCCCAGAGGCCUUUUAAUUUUUACUACUUUUCAGAAACUGUGAUAAAGGAGGUGGCUUCCCAAAUUUGGGGUGAAAGCUUAUCAGCUGUUGGGUUUCAUGACUUCAGUCUUGGUUAUUCUCAAGCAUCACUCUGAAGAUUCGUGAUGGAACUAGGAAUAAAAUCCAGACCUUCGUGUAUCAUUCAGUCUCCCAUGUCUGCUGAAAUGGAAAAAGAAAUGGCAAUAUGCUCCUUCCCACAAGGGGAUGCAUUUCCCCCGAAUACACUUAAGACAAGAUGGCUCGCCUGGUGCCUUUGUUAAUAGUGUUGCCAAAUUUCAAAAAGUAAAAUUCCUCCCCCCAAUAUGGUGAUUUUAAGCCAUACACCCAGGUUUUCCCUGACAUUUUGCCGAUUCGGCAUUUUUGCCCUCGUCAUUUUUAUACCCAAACGCCAGGACAUGUCAGGAAUAUGGCAAGCUUAUUGUUACAUAUCUUUAGGCACCAGGCAAAAACAUUUAUUUUCCCCAGGCCUAUGGCUUUCCAAACUGGGUGUGUUUUUGUUUGUUAUUAUGGUAUGCAUUUUAGUGCUUUUAUAUUGUAAACCAUCCUGCAAUCGUUGGAUGAAGGGCGGUAUAGAAAUGUAAUAAAUAAUAAUAAAUAAUAUUAAUAAGACAACUCUGGGCAGUGCAUGGCAGGAUCCCUUUGUUGUUUCUCUGUGAAAAAUCCUAGCAGAGUAAUUUGCAAUACAACAGUACUGCAAUGCAACAGAAUCCUGUGGUGCAAUUUUUUGCACCCAGCUAUUUAGGCGUUGCUUUGUUCCAUCUGCCUUUUAGGACACUGGUGACGAGAGUAAUGAAUAGCGUGAGCCACUUGGUUAUUAGCUCUCCCUCCCUCCUCCCUUCUGCCUUUCAUUAUGGUAACUUUACAUGCACUUUUAAUUUGUGUGCAGACAGGUACAAAAGCAUAACCGGAUAUACCUGUUAUUUGCCAAUGACCUGAGAGAGUUUAGUUUAUGUUAAGCCUGGGGUUAUGUCAGAGUUUGCACGCAAUUCCCCAAUAGAUUUGCUGCAGGCAAUUAGUGGAUAGUGGUGUUGGAAGGGGGAGGAAGGCUUUAAAGUGACAGAACUUUAUUUCAUUCUCCUUUAGUCUUUUCAAGCACGCAACCAACUUACUUUUAUUCCGCACGCAGGCAAAGUUACACAGUCUGCUCAGGAAAAGAUAUGUAUAAUUUAAACCAUACUAAGUUAGGAAAGAAUUUGUUGCAAUUUGUUAACAAUCCCUGCAGCAGCUAACCUUGUGAGUGC